rnacentral:lncRNA from 14 species
CAUUUUAAGGAAGAGGAUUUAGGGAAGGUUUAACUCUUCAGUCUGGUCUAUGUUUAAGAUUCUUGCAGAAACCUGAGCCAGUAAACAUGACUGCAUCCGCAAGUGACUAUACAAGAAAAUAGUAAAACUGCUGUCUUAAGGCGGGAAACAACACCAACAUACAGUAGGCAAUCAGUAUUCUAGAAAAUGAAGGACAAAGAAGAAACUUGAAGUACACAAUAAAAGCCUGACCUUUGGCA